AGUUGUUCAGGUAAGGCCUCUGAGUAAAACAUUUGGGAGGUGUUUCUGUUUCUUGGCCAUGGAGAUCUUUGGGGGCAUCUCAUGCCUUGCGCUCUGUGGGCUUCUUGCCAAAGGUCACAGAAAGCCUGUUGCCCCACACCCAAAUACAGUGGUCGGCCCUUGGCACUAACCGGCCUGUCCUAGUGUUAGCACAGUGCAUCACUGCGUCUUCUGUGAUGCUGUGUUCAGCUGCUCCUGGUGAUUCAUUCUAGACUUUACCUCAUGUCCCAGUGGCUACUUCUGAGUCCGGCUUGCUGAGACUCCUGUCUGAGAUUAUUUCUUCUGCUCAAAAAGAAUACUCAGGAUGUAGCAAUGGAAAUAGAAAACUUCAGGAGUAAACUUGGAUUGGCCUUACCACUCUCUGUGUGUGUUCUGGCAUGCUGGGAGGUCAUGUCUUCUAUAAACAUGUGAGGUGACCACUCUUGGCAUUCUGCAGUCUGGCGCAUUGACAAUCUGGUAGCUGGAUAUGGAUGAAGAACCUGUGGAGAGGGGACAGAAAAGGUAUGAGACAUGGUCCAGGAAUGGAGUCCUGUGAGAAGACUUCUGAGUGCUUGUGAGAAUAUUUCUAAGGGUCCGAUGGCCUUGUGACCAAAGUUUCUUCAAGAUCCCAAAUUGUCCAUGGACCAUGUUUUCAUGCUCCUUCCUGGUGUUUUGGAAUGAGUUUACUUCACAUUUCUCAUUAUUGCUUCCUGUUGAAAUUUAACUAAGUGUUUAAACUACCCUUUAUAUGCCUUUAUGGAAAAACAUAAUUUGGCAACUUGUAGCUAGUUCUUGUGAUUGUACACAGCUUGAACUCAGGAGAAUUAUAUAUUGAACUUGAGAGUGAUUCCAAUAUCUGAGGCUUUGAAAGAAAAUGGCUUUAGUAUAAGCCUUUAAUACACGUUAUGUUGGGGUCCAUUCUCCUAGGUCCCACUGCCUGUAGAGCACUGGCAGACAGGUGUGAAUAAACUGGGGAAACAAAGCCCAGAGGCAGGAGGAACUUAAGGUUACAUCGUAUUUUAGUAUUGAGCUCCUUGAAAACACACAGGUAUUAUAUUUUCAAUAUUAAUGGUACUAGGGCUGCACUAUCAAUUCAUAAUUUUACAUUGGGUGACGGCAAAUGUAAACAUUUUUAUUGUUAGGUCACAAUGCUGUAUUUGUCCCUGCCCUUAAUCUGCAUGUUGGGAUGACAGUGACUCUGGAGGAGUUGCAGCACUUGUUAUGGGACGCUUACUUUCGGCGUUAAUUUUAACAAAAAUUAGUUCUAUUAUUGUCUUAGUUAGGCUUUGACUUCUGUGAACAGACACCAUGGCCAUGGUAACUCCUAUAAGGACAAUAUUCAAUUGGGGUUGUCUUACAGGUUCAGAGGUUCAGUCCAUUGUCAUCAGGGCAGGAGCAUGACAGCAUCCAGAUAGGGAUGGCACAGGCUGAGCUGAGAGUUCUCCAUGUUCAUCUGAAGGCUGAUAACAGAAUACUAGCUUCCUGGCAGCCAGGAUGAGGGUCUUAAUUCCCAAACCCAGAGUGACACACCUACGUCAGCAAGGCCAUGCCUCCCAACAGUGCCAGUCCCAGGGCCAAGCACAUAGAAACCAUCACAGUAUAGUUUUGCAAUUAUAAUUACAGUAUUUCAUCAUGUAGCCAUCUUUAUCUUUGUUUAGACUGGAGUUUGUUCUAUAAACCAGGAUUCCCUCAAGUCACAGAGCUCCAUCUUCCUCUGCAUCAUGGUUCAGUUCUUCAUUUAUUGAUUAAAGUCACUGCUCCAUAGCACACUCAUAUAAAAUAGCACUGUGGUCACUGUUAGUUUCAUGUAUGAUUGUCCCUGUCAGUUUAUAACUUUUUCGCAUCAUCUUAUAGAGAACUUGGCGUCGCUUCCCAGGUCUACUGUUAGAGUAAAACCCGUAAAUUCUCAGUGCCCAUGUACACAGCAGGUGAGGGGGUAGAGAGAGGGGACUUGAGCAUCACCCUACACGGACUUGGCUCCUGCCAGGGCAGAGAUGCAUCGCCCUCAGUGAGGAAGGUCUGCAAACUUCCAGAGACAGUGUCCUUCUACAACAAGGGGGCAGAGUCAAGGGCUGGAUGUUCCAGGAACCAACAGCCAUUUUUAUUUUUCUUGUGUUGCUUAGUUCAUGGACUCGUGAGCAUCUGGAUCUGGCCUUCCUUCUAGGUGAGGAUGUAGUAGCCUCUUCAUUCAAAGAGACCUGAAAACAUGGGUUUACAGUAAAAAGUACAAAGUGUUCUGUUGUCCAUUCUGUGUAGUAGGCCACCGAUUUCUAUUGGCCUGAGCCAGGGAGCAACACCUGAGUGCCUCUCUUCCACUCAGGGUGUAUCAUUCAAAGAGUUAGCUGUAUCUCUGGCCUUGUUUAUGAGGCUGGUCUCAGGCUUUGGCAAUGCUGUGUGUUGUUGUUGAUGAUUUUCAGUAUCUCUAGCAUGGACUUUUGGAAAGUUCAUAUUUGUGUAACAAAAGUAUCUGUUUAUUCAUAGUACAAUAAAAAGAACAAUAUAGCAGUAACAGUCACAGCACCAGGAGCAGCAUCAGGAGCAAGGACAUUGUAAUUGCAAGAUCCUUUGUGGUACCUAUGCAAAUAUAAAAAAAAUAGUUGUUCUACACAUAUGUCCCAGGAGGCAGAAAACUCCAUUUCCAGCUAGAUAUACUUGAAUGUAUCUGUGUCUUUUCAUUUGCUGGAAGUAUGACAAAUCACUAUGUCCUACCAGCAGUAAACCACCUAGUCAUAAGAGGGGACCUUGCUGUUUUCCCACCUAUAAUUCCCCACCCCUCUGUUGUCUCCUGUGACUGUCUGCAUCCUCAGCAAGUUGCUCUCCACUCUGUGGUAUGAGCUCCAGGGACCACAGCACCUCCUACAACACUUGACACAGACACAUGGAAGGGUCUCUUAAUAGAAAUGUGCAGGACUUAAGCUCUGGCUGUGCUGGCUCUGAGCUGGGUUUGAGUCUCUAAUUCCUCCUGAGUGUUCCACUCUUUCCUUCACUAUAUUUACCUCCAUCCUCCACAACUCUAGGGCUACCAUCCUCUGCUUUCUACAUCUCGUUCAAAUAUUUUAGGACUCCUGUUAGGAGUAAGGACAGGAUGGGUUUUCUAUCUGGGCUAUAUCAAUGAAUGAAUCUUGCUGAUACAUUAUCAACACCUAUAUUUAUGUCACGAAUAUAGGAUUCAAAAAAGAAUCCAGUAUUCAAAGCAUACAUGACUAAGUAGAAAAGGGUUUCAUUACCAUAUUACCUACAUGUGUUAGCUGGUUUCUCUGUGACCUCCCUCAUUUGCUGCCAUGAUUUUAAUUCGCUCAAUAGUUGUUAGGAUUUUGAUUGUUUUGUUUUAUUUUGUUUUAUGCGUGGAGGCAUUUUAAAUUACUAUUGAUGGUACCCUUUUUCCUGCUUUCUCAGGGCAAGACCAAAGUUGAACAUGACACACUGAUAUUUGAUAUGCUCCUGAGGGUCUGUUUCCCAGGAGGAUGGGCGGCUGUCCUCUGAGCAAUUUAAGCUGGGUUCCCACCAUGGGCUUUCUUGCUGGAAAAGAAACACAAGGAACAUGGGCUUGGGUCUAGAUUCUGAGUGUUAUCCAUGCAGUCUGGUAAUAAUCAUGAUUUGUGAAGACAUACUUAAUGAUUAUACACCAGAGCAGACACUAAUCUCAGUCCCUCUCCAAGUUCUCUUCCUGAAGUGAAGCAUAUGGACAUUCUAGUGUGCAAUUUGCCUGGUAAAUUUCCUCUUCGGGAAAGGUCCUCUUCAGUAAAGAAAGUGGGGGGAGUACAUUACGUUUUCUUCAGUCUUUUCUCUCCAGACAGAUCAGGUAGCUGGUCCAAGAGAAGGUGUGAAGGGAGGGUCCCUCAUCCUUCUUUUAAUGCAGAGGAAGGUUCGGAGCUUAUUCAGGGGAUAUUAGACAACCCUAGCCUCUAUUGUAAUUACCUUUUCACUGACAGGUGGACUUCUUUUGUAUAAUGAUGGGAUACUUUUUGUACCCCAUGAAAAACAUUUUGAAGGCAACAUUGAGAUCUGGUUCCCUUAGGAUUUUGACUGACAAAAUCUUUGACGUGUGUCCAUCAAAGAACAAGCAAGGGUGUCCAAUACACAUAUGAAUGUAGGCACUUCAUGACACUCACUGCUAUUAGUAUUUGAUGUAGUAUAAAUGUAUGUGUUAUGCAAAACAAUCCAGGACUCAUAUUUCAGGAAGAAGUCUGAGAUUGGGAACCCCAAAUUCUGUCUUUCUGAUAGGGGUGUGAAUGCUUACUAAUUCUUAGAGGACCACUCCAAGGCUCAACUUGUAAAUGUGAUCUAAUUCUGCUCCUUAGAAGCAGAGAAGGUUGGAGAGGUCAUGAAUCCGUCAGGGUUCAUCCCUGACUUUUAUGGUGUUCAAAUUUGUGCUGCCAAUAAGGUCAUCUUUUCCAGGAUUAAGCAGGUUUUCUUUUCGUGGUUUUGUUGCUCAAAAAGGCCUUGAUCUUUUGUAUUCCCUAUCACAUUAAGAACAUUUCUAAUGCUGCCUUUGAGCAAUGUCCCUAUGGAUUUUCUCUUAAAAGAAUCAUUGAUGAUUUUACAUGACUGGGCAUGCACAGGUGUGUCGUGAUAUGAUGAUUGUUGCUCUCCUUGUAGCCUCAUUGUUGGUAUUUCAUUAAGUGGAUCUUCCAGCUCUUAAGAGAGUUUACUGUGUGAGUAUAUUUAAAAAAAACAAUAUAUAUUGUUCAUGAACAAUACCUGUUAUUUGAAUUUCCUGUCACUGUGAAUGUAAAUGCAUUGUCACUAAAAAGCAGAGGACGACCGAAAGGCCCAAGGUAUCAGUGGGAAGCCCUUCAGAUAAUGCUCCUGACCACCCAUGCAGCACAGUAUUUGCCUUAUUCACACCAUUGCACAGCCAUCAAAGUUGCUACUCAUGAUCUGUUUCACUGGAGGAUGGGUGCUGUCUGUAAGCAUUCUACGCUUGUGUUCUUACUCUGGACGUCUUCACUAGAAAGGGCCUCAAUGCACAGAGGAGCCUGUGGUUGGCCUAGGUUCUUUGUGCUAUCAGUGAUCAUAGUUUGAAGUCGGUAAAUGUGUGCUUGUUGAUAAUAAUCCCUUAGAUCUCAGGAUCCACCCAGUCUCUCUGCGAGUCCUGUUUUGUGACAAGUCUUAAGUGAUAAGGUCAGUCUUUUUCUGGUAGUGUCCUCUUUACCAUGUUUAGGGUAGUAGCAGUGGCAAGUGUAGACACACUGGCUCCCCUCUUGAGAAGCAGAGGGAGCUCAGGAGGUUUUACCUGGGACUUUGUUCCCUCUGUCUAUUGUGUUCAAAUAUUCAUUGGCAAAUCAAAUAAUUAUGUAGGAUUAAAUGUGGUUCAAUGUAUUUUGUUGCUUGAGGGUCUACUUGAUACCCUGUAUUUCGCACCGCAUUUAAUAUAAUUAUUAUUGCAGGUUUCCUUUCAGGUUUUUUUCUGUGGCCCUUCUUCAUAUGUCUUCAGCCUGGUGUAGCUACAGGCAUGCCAGGACUUCCAGUAUUAUGAACCUGUUCUGGCAUCCUCUGCAAUUUACUGAUUGUGUAGGUCUUCAAGCUCUGGGGAUAGAUGAUGUGGGGUAGAAGUUUCAUGAACAUAUCUACCCUUCAGCCAUUGAAUUCUGUCUCUAUGUAUGGGACAUGUAUAGAGUUCCAGCAUUUGUGCUUCUGAGCACCUGAGGGACACAAUAUUCAGUUUAAUACAAACCAUGAUUUAACCAUGGAAGUGCUAGAGAGGGCAUGUUUCACUGGAGGACAGGCUUCUAACAUUUGAAGGAUUUAUGCUUGUUUUCUUCCUAUGGGAAUCUUCCCUGGAUAAGGACCCAAUGCCCCUGUGAAGGAGGAUGUGAUUUUCUCUAGGUUUUGAGUGGAGAGUGGUCACAUAUUGGGGUUUUUUGUAGUGGAAAGAAAACUCUGAAAGCAUUCUUUUUUUUUCUUUAUUAACUUGAGUAUUUCUUAUUUACAUUUCGAGUGUUAUUCCCUUUCCCGGUUUCCGGACCAACAUCCCCCAACCCCACCUCCUCCCCUACUUUAUGGGUGUUCCCCUCCCCACCCUCCCCCCAUUGCCGCCCUCCCCCCAACAAUCACGUUCACUGGGGGUUCAGUCUUAGCAGGACCCAGGGCUUCCCCUUACACUGGUGAUCUUACUACGAUAUUCAAUGCUACCUAUGAGGUCAGAGUCCAGGGUCAGUCCAUGUAUAGACUUUAGGUACUGGCUUAGUCUCUGGAAGCUCUGGUUGCUUGGCAUUGUUGUUCAUAUGGGGUCUUGAGCCCCUUCAAGCUCUUUCAGUUCUUUCUCUGAUUCCUUCAACAGGGGUCCUAUUCUCAGUUCAGUGGUUUGCUGCUGGCAUUCGCCUAUGUAUUUGCUGUAUUCUGGCUGUGUCUCUCAGGAGAGAUCUACAUCCAGCUACUGUCUGCCUGCACUUCUUUGCUUCAUCCAUCUUGUCUAAUUGGGUGGCUGUAUAUGUAUGGGCCAGAUGUGGGGCAGGCUCUGAAUGGGUGUUCCUUCUGUCUCUGUUUUAAUCUUUGCCUCUCUAUUCCCUGCCAAGGGUAUUCUUGUUCCCCUUUUAAAGAGGGAGUGAAGCAUUCACAUUUUGAUCAUCCGUCUUGAGUUUCAUGUGUUCUAGGCAUCUAGGAUAAUUCAAGCAUUUGGGCUAAUAGCCACUUACCAAUGAGUGCAUACCAUGCGUGUUUUUCUGUGAUUGGGUUACCUCACUCAGGAUGAUAUUUUCCAGUUCCAUCCAUUUGCCUAUGAAUUUCAUAAAGUCAUUGUUUGUGGUAGCUGAGUAAUAUUCCAUUGUGUAGAUGUACCACAUUUUCUGUAUCCAUUCCUUUGUUGAAGGGCAUCUGGGUUCUUUCCAGCUUCUGGCUAUUAUAAAUAAGGCUGCUAUGAACAUAGUGGAGCACGUGUCUUUUUUAUAUAUUGGGGCAUCUUUUGGGUAUAUGCCCAAGAGAGGUAUAGCUGGAUCCUCAGGGAGUUCAAAGUCCAAUUUUCUGAGGAAUCUCCAGACUGAUUUCCAGAAUGGUUGUACCAGUCUGCAAUCCCACCAACAAUGGAGGAGUGUUCCUUUUUCUCCACAUCCUCGCCAGCGUUUGCUGUCACCUGAGUUUUUGACCUUAGCCAUUCUCACUGGUGAGAGGUAAAAUCUCAGGAUUGUUUUGGUUUGCAUUUCCCUUAUGACUAAAGAUGUUGAACAUUUCUUUAGGUGUUUCUCAGCCAUUCGGCAUUCCUCAGCUGUGAAUUCUUUGUUUAGCUCUGAACCCCAUUUUUAAUAGGGUUAUUUGUCUCCCUACGGUCUAACUUCUUGAGUUCUUUGUAUAUUUUGGAUAUAAGGCCUAUAUCUGUUGUAGGAUUGGUAAAGAUCUUUUCCCAAUCUGUUGGGUGCCAUUUUGUCCUAACCACAGUGUCCUUUGCCUUACAGAAGCUUUGCAGUUUUAUGAGAUCCCAUUUGUCGAUUCUUGAUCUUAGAGCAUAAGCCAUUGGUGUUUUGUUCACAAAAUUUUCUCCAGUGACCAUGGGUUCGAGAUGCUGCCCUAGUUUUUCUUCUAUUAGUUUGAGUGUGUCUGGUUUGAUGUGGAGGUCCUUGAUCCACUUGGACUUAAGCUUUGUACAAGGUGAUAAGCAUGGAUCGAUCUGCAUUCUUCUACAUGUUGCCCUCCAGUUGAACCAGCACCAUUUGCUGAAAAUGCUAUCUUUUUCCAUUGGAUGGUUUUGGCUCCUUUGUCAAAAAUCAAGUGCCCAUAGGUGUGUGGGUUCAUUUCUGGGUCUUCAAUUCUGUUCCAUUGGUCUAUCUGUCUGUCUCUGUACCAAUACCAUGCAGUUUUUAUCACUAUUGCUCUGUAAUACUGCUUGAGUUCAGGGAUAGUGAUUCCCCCGGAAAUCCUUUUAUUGUUGAGGAUAGUUUUAGCUAUCCUGGGUUUUUUGUUAUUCCAGAUGAAUUUGCAAAUUGUUCUGUCUAACUCUUUGAAGAAAUGGAUUGGUAUUUUGAUGGGGAUUGCACUGAAUCUUGUAGAUCGCUUUUGGUAUAAUGGCCAUUUUUACUAUAUUAAUCCUGCCAAUCUAUGAGCAUGGGAGAUCUUCCCGUCUUCUGAGGUCUUCUUCAAUUUCUUUCUUUAGAGUCUUGAAGUUCUUAUUGUACAGAUAUUUUACUUGCUUGAUUAAAGUCACACCGAGGUACUUUAUAUUAUUUGGGUCUAUUAUGAAGGGUGUCGUUUCCCUAACUUCUUUCUCGGCUUGUUUCUCUUUUGUGUAGAGGAAGGCUACUGAUUUAUUUGAGUUAAUUUUAUACCCAGCCACUUUGCUGAAGUUGUUUAUCAGCUUUAGUAAUUCUCUGGUGGAACUUUUGGGAUCACUUAAACAUACUACCAUAUCAUCUGCAAAUAGUGAUGUUUUGACCUCUUCUUUUCCGAUCUGUAUCCCCUUGAGAUCCUUUUGUUGUCUGAUUGCUCUGGCUAGAACUUCAAGAACUAUAUUGAAUAAGUAGGGAGAGAGUGGGCAUCCUUGUCUAGUUCCUGAUUUUACUGGGAUUGCUUCAAGUUUCUCUCCAUUUAGUUUUUUUUUUUUUUAAUAAGCAAAGGCGAGGUUUAUUAUGGAGAUCUAUUACAGGGAUCUCCGGGUCGACACGUAUCCUGCGCAGGAGACAGAGGUGUCGACCCCGAAGCUCAAAAGUCAGGGGUUUAUAUAGGGAAGGCUAGGGGGUUUGGCGCGGUUACACACAAUUGGCUAAUUUCUGGCGUGGCUACAAGUGAUUGGCUCAUUUAAACAUGGCAGUGAGAUUACAACACAGCAGGAGAGUACGUAUUGACUGGAGCAUACAGGAUUUUAGGAGCUAGGGGCGUAUCAGGGUUUGAAGGACAUCUGGUUAAGGUGUGACUCUGAGUAAGCUGGGGGAGGUGCCCUUCUGCCAGAUGGUUUGGGUCAGUCCUGAUAACUCGGGCUGGUUCCUGCAUUCCUUUUCUUUAUCUUCAUGGUCUGUUAGUCCUAGCGGCAGGGCGGGGCUGCCUGGACUUGCUUUUCACAGUGUUUAGUUCUGAGUCUGAAUUUUGAAACUUAUUCUUUUAACUUCGUAUUUUUAAACCUUAAAUCUGUAUAAUUUUCCUUUCAUUCCCCUCUUCUUCUACUAAGUAAUUCUAAUCUUAGAAUUUUGAUAUCAAGUCUCGUAUUUGGUCUCACCAGUUGUCCUAACUGACUGGUACUGUUGUCUCAGAACCAUCAACCGCACAGCACCCACUCGAUUUUUAACAAAAGCAAUUAACCUGUAUGUCACGCAGGGUCCAAAAACUAAAACCAAGAAAAUUACUAGUAAUGGCCCAGCUAUAUAGCAGAAAGUAGGGUAGUCAUCCAGGAAGACCGAGUGAACCAAGACUCAAACCAACCUUGUUGAGCAUCUCUAUCUUUUUGUAGGAGUCAAACCUAUUAACUAGUUUCUUUAACACACAUGGACCUAUAAUCAGAAGCAGAAGCAAAACUAAGAAGGGUCCCAUAAGGGAAGAUAUCAGAGUAGUCAUCCAAGGAGAUCUACUAAACCAGAUCUUGAACCAUCCCUGAUGCGCUCUGACUUUUGUCUAACCUUUCUCUAAGUUUAUUCAUGGAGUCUUUAAUUACUCCUGAAUGGUCUGCAUAGAAGCAACAUUCUUCUUUCAGUAUAGCACACAGACUCCUUUAAGGAAUAUCAGGUCUAAUCUUCUCCUAUUCUGAAGGAGUACCUCUGAGAGGGAGGUUAGGUAUUCUUGGAGGUCAGCUAAAAAGUCUUUCACUCUUUUUAUAUCUGAGUCAAUGGCAGUUCUGAAUUCUCUAUAAGCCUUGCAUUGCAGGGCAAUGGCAGAUGUCCUUGUGCUGCCCUUGCAGCACCCAGAUAGCCUUAAGUAAUUCUCAACUCUUUUUUUUUCUAAGUCUUUAGCAUCAGGAUUCCAAUCUGGACACUAUCUAAACCUACACACCAAGGUCAUGACUAGCUUUUAGAACUUCUAAACUUAUACAGAUUGUGAUCCCUGAGGCACAGUCCCAAGAAGUGUUAGGAGUACUAACAUAUGCAAUGUUACAUCAUUUGUAAUAGAAAUCAAGCCUAUCCCCACAGCUAUCUCGAUAGAACCCAGGGCAAACAUGAAAUUAAGUCUAGGGAGCUUUUUGAAGAUCUGAGUGUCCCUCUAGGUCCCAGCUCUCAGCCCCAACAGCUAGUACUCGGCUGGUGAGGGCUGAGAAUUGAUGGCUGUCAGGGUGGUCAGCAGCACCAGGUACUGUCCUUUCCAGUGAGGCUCGAGUAUCUGGGUUUGGUGCCAUCGUAUGUAGCCGAGUCUCCGACCUGGAACUGAUGAGAUGUCUCGGGGGUCCCCAGGGCAUAGGCUGCUGCCAGCUCUGAGCAGACUUCUUUCUAUAUCACCUGUAGGUCUUUUAGCCUGGCAUACAAAUCAUUAUUACUAUGACAUGUUGGUUCAGCAACAUCAUCUAAUACAGUCAGAGGAGCUGAGGCCCCAUAUAAGAUCUCAAAGGGGGUAAGGCUGAAUCUGGAAGGGGUAUUUCUUGCUCUGAAGAGAGCAAGAGGGAAGGAGUGCCACCCAGUCUGUGCCAGUCUCCAUGGUCAAUUUAAUUUGGUCAGGGUCUCUCUUAGAGUUUUAUUUAUUUACCUGUCCUGAACUUUGAGGUCUGUAAAUACAAUGUAAUUUCCAAUCGACCUCUAAAUACUUGGCCAUACCCUGGCUUACCUUGGCAACGAAAGUAGGGCCAUUGUCUGACCAGAUUACCUUGGGCAUUCCAGACCUGGGGAAGAUUUCUUCCAGUAUCUUCUUGAUGAUUGCAGAGGCCAUCUCUCGUUUGGUGAGGAAAGCUUCUAUCUAUUCCUGAAAAAGUAUCUACAAGCACUAGGAGAUACUUGUGAUCAUAUUUUCCUGGUUUUAUCUCAGUGAAGUUCACUUCGACUUUUCACUAAACUCUCUAGGUCUCUUUGCCCUGUUUGCUUGCUAAGCAUUCACUUAUUGACAUACCUUAUACUUUUUACUGCUUUGACAUACCUUAUACUUUUUACUGCCUCUCUGGCUAAAAUCUUAAAAUCUAUUACAUACACUUAACUAUUUGGACAAACUUUUUAUCUCCUAAAUGAGUCCAUUUCUGUAUUUGGCAAAGUGAGUCUUUUGUUUGUUCUCUGAGGAAUAUCGUUUUCCCUCAAGAGUGCCAUUGUCUUUUUUUCAUUUAAGCAAUUUGGGCCUUUUCUUCUGUUGUACAUUCUAAGUGAGGCAAUCCCUUAGUCCAAUCCCAGUUCCCAGUGGCUGUCUCUUGCAGGCCUGUAACCAGGAUAGGCUCCUGCAUAGCCAUUUCCCGAGCCACUUUAUCUGCUUUGUUACUGCCCCAUGCCACUGAAUCUCUUCCCUCCUGAUAUCCUGAGCAAUGAAUAGUACUCACAGUUGUUGGCUUCACCAGGGCAUCCAAGAGAUGGCAAAGACAUCUGCAGCACUGAUGUGCUGGGGGGUUGAGGUUCAGCCAUCCCAGAUGACAUUGUGUUGCCCACCAUGGCAGCACCCACUUAUCUCUGACCUUCAUGAAGAGAACUGUUCCCGUCUGUGGACAAGGUCCUCGGCUUUCAGCAGGGGUCAAUCAACCAGUCACAGAGGUCUUUCCUCCACCCAUGGGCUUCUGCCAGUGCUUGACACUCAUGUUGCAGAGGCUCCAGGUCAGGAUUGGGCAGCAAGGUGACCAGAUUGUCCCCAACCAGUGGAGAAUCUAGUCCAUCGCAGCUGACCAGUGGUCCCAUCUUUUGGGACAUUCUAUUCAAAGGCAAAAUAUCAGCCACUCUAUCACAGUUUAAGUCCUGGAUUGGGUGAUAAUUGUCAGUGCCUGGCUGGCAGGAACGGUGUGUUCCAGGCAGACCGGCACUAAGCCAUACAUCUCCCAGCAUCAGGUACUGGUGCACUGAGACAGGUCUUAAGCCCCACGUACACAGUCUGCAGAUAUGCAUACACAUGGCCUCACCCUUCAGCCCACGCAAGUCAUUUUGGAAAGCAAAUUUCUCAUGAGCAAGGGAUGGGGGCAGUCAGGGAUGACCAUGAAUUAGUGGGUUACCCAGCCCAUGCCAAGGUCCACUGUUCUUCGGGCAGUCCAUAAGUAUUGUUCGUUACCAGUAGCCCCCUGUACUCAAGGUCUUUGGAUACUGGGCCACUGGGGGGGGGGGCAUAGGAAUACAGAGCACUGGGUCCCUGUAUCCACACUUCUCUUCUAUCUCUGUGCAUAGCCAGCACUCUAGGACCAAGAAGCUCUCCAGUGGCCCCUCUUGUUCUCUCUUGGGCAGUCCCUGAUCCAGUGUCCUUUUUCUUUGCAUUAGGCACACUGAUCUUUAGCCAGGAAUUCUCUUCUGUUGCCAGGUACUAUCUUCCUAGGCUCCCUAACUACUGUGGCCAGUAUAUGUUCCUCUCCUGUCUUUUAUCUCUCUUUAGCUCUCUAGCUUCCUCUUCUUUUUGUCUCUUUUCUUCCCUAGCUUCCUGCUCUUUUUACCUUCUUUUCUCUUUCUAACUUAUACUAACUCUCAGCAACUUAGCUUAACCCUUCAAGUUUCUGUAACUUUCUCUUCAUAUCUUUUCCUUAUCUUAGCCAGAUUGGUGGGGCAUUUUCCAGCCCCCCGGAGACCCACCCUUGGAGCCUGGGGGCAGACCCGGAGCACUCCCUACCUUUAGGGGUAUUGAAGUCAACAGGCAGAAGUGAGGGCCUUCCAUCCAUGUCUGGAACAUUCUUUCUGGCCUCUAGUAGGAUUCUGUCUUUCCUCAGUGGUAAAGAAGACCUGUAACAGUUACUAACAAGCAUCUCAAGUGGGAUGGUGAGAAAACAAGAACGUAAUCUUGAGACUCUCCAUUUAGUUUAAUGUUAGCAACUGGUUUGCUGUAUAUGGCUUUUACUAUGUUCAGGUAUGGGCCUUGAAUUCCUAUUCUUUCCAGGACUUUUAUCAUGAAGGGGUGUUGAAUUUUGUCAAAUGCUUUCUCAGCACCUAAUGAAAUGAUCAUGUGGUUUUGUUCUUUCAGUUUGUUUAUAUAAUGGAUCACGUUGAUGGUUUUCCGUAUAUUAAACCAUCCCUGCAUGCCUGGGAUGAAGCCUACUUGAUCAUGGUGGAUGAUUGUUUUGAUGUGCUCUCGGAUUCGGUUUGCCAGAAUUUUAUUGAGUAUUUUUGCGUCGAUAUUCAUAAGGGAAAUUGGUCUGAAGUUGUCUUUCUUUGUUGGGUCUUUGUGUGGUUUAGGUAUAAGUAUAAUUGUGGCUUCAUAGAAGUAAUUCGGUAGUGCUCCUUCUGUUUCAAUAUUGUGGAAUAGUUUGGAUAGUAUUGGUAUGAGGUCUUCUAUGAAGGUCUGAUAGAAUUCUGCACUAAACCCAUCUGGACCUGGGAUCUUUUUGGUUGGGAGACCUUUAAUGACUGCUUCUAUUUCCUUAGGAGUUAUGGGGUUGUUGAACUGGUUUAUCUGUUCCUGAUUUAACUUCGGUACCUGGUAUCUGUCUAGGAAAUUGUCCAUUUCCUGCAGAUUUUCAAGUUUUGUUGAAUAUAGGCUUUUAUAGUAAGAUCUGAUGAUUUUUUGAAUUUCCUCUGAUUCUGUAGUUAUGUCUCCCUUUUCAUUUCUGAUUUUGUUAAUUUGGACACACUCUCUGUGUCCUCUCGUUAGUCUGGCUAAGUGUUUAUCUAUCUUGUUGAUUUUCUCAAAGAACCAACUUUUGGUUCUGUUGAUUCUUUCUAUGGUCCUUUUUGUUUCUACUUGGUUCAUUUAGGCUCUGAGUUUGAUUAUUUCCUGCCUUCUACUCCUCCUGGGUGUAUUUGCUUCUUUUUGUUCUAGAGCUUUUAGGUGUGCUGUCAAGCUGCUGACAUAUGCUCUCUCCUGUUUCUUUCUGCAGGCACUCAGCGCUAUGAGUUUUCCUCUUAGCAAGCUUUCAUUGUGUCCCAUAAGUUUGGGUAUGUUGUACCUUCAUUUUCAUUAAAUUCUACAAAGUCUUUAAUUUCCUUUUUUAUUUCUUCCUUGACCAGGUUGGCGUUGAGUAGAGCAUUGUUCAACUUCCACAUAUAUGUGGGCGUUCUUCCCUUAUUGUUAUUGAGUACCAGCUUUAGGCCGUGGUGGUCUAAUAGCACGCAUGGGAUUAUUUCUAUCUUUCUGUACCCGUUGAGGCCCGUUUUUUGACCAAUUAUAUGGUCAAUUUUGGAGAAAGUACCAUGAGGAGCUGAGAAGAAUGUAUCUCCUUUUGCUUUAGGAUAGAAUGUUCUAUAAAUAUCUGUUAAGUCCAUUUGGUUCGUGACUUCUCUUAGUCUGUCUACGUCUCUGUUUAAUUUCUGUUUCCAUGAUCUGUCCAUUGUUGAGAAUGGGGUGUUGAAUCUCCUACUAUUAUUGUAUGAGGUGCAAUGUGUGUUUUGAGCUUUAGCAAGAUUUCUUUUACGUAUGUAGGUGCCCUUGUAUUUGGGGCAUAGAUAUCUAGGAUUGAGAAUUCUUCUUGGUGGAUCUUUCCUUUGAUGAAUAUGAAGUGUCCUUCCUUAUCUUUUUUGAUGACUUUUAGUUUAAAAUUGAUUUUAUUUGAUAUUAGAAUGGUUACUCCAGCUUGCUUCUUCCGACCAUUUGCUUCGAAAGUUGUUUUCCAGCCUUUCACUCUGAGGUAUUGUCUUUCUUUGUCUCUGAGGUAUGUUUCCUGUAGGCAGCAGAAUGCAGGUUCCUCGUUGCGUAUCCAGUUUGUUAAUCUAUGUCUUUUUAUUGGGAAGUUGAGGCCAUUGAUGUUGAGAGAUAUUAAGGAAUAGUGAUUAUUGCUUCCUGUUAUAUUCAUAUUUGGAUGUGAGGUUAUCUUUGUGUGCUUUUCUUCUCUUUGUUUUGUUGCCAAGAUGAUUAGUCUCUUGCUUUUUCUAGGGUGUAGCUUGCCUCCUUAUGUUGGGCUUUACCCUUUAUUAUCCUUUGGAGUGCUGGAUUUGUAGAAAGAUAUUGUGUAAAUUUGGUUUUGUCAUGGAAUAUCUUGGUUUCUCCAUCUAUGUUAAUUGAGAGUUUUGCAGGAUACAGUAACCUGGGCUGGCAUUUUUGUUCUCUUAGGGUCUGUAUGACAUCUUUCCAGGAUCUUCUGGCUUUCAUAGUUUCUGGCGAAAAGUCUGGUGUGAUUCUGAUAGGUCUGCCUUUAUAUGUUACUUGACCUUUUUCCCUUACUGCUUUUAAUAUUCUUUCUUUAUUUUGUGCGUUUGGUGUUUUGACUAUUAUGUGACGGGAGGUGUUUCUUUUCUGGUCCAAUCUAUUUGGAGUUCUGUAGGCUUCUUGUAUGCCUAUGGGUAUCUCUUUUUUUAGGUUAGGGAAGUUUUCUUCUAUGAUUUUGUUGAAGAUAUUUACUGGUCCUUUGAGCUGGGAGUCUUCACUCUCUUCUAUACCUAUUAUCCUUAAGUUUGAUCUUCUCAUUGAGUCCUGGAUUUCCUGUAUGUUUUGGACCAGUAGCUUUUUCUGCUUUACAUUAUCUUUGACAGUUGAGUCGAUGAUUUCUAUGAAAUCUUCUGCUCCUGAGAUUCUCUCUUCUAUCUCUUGUAUUCUGUUGGUGAAGCUUGUAUCUAUGGCUCCUUGUCUCUUCUUUUGGUUUUCUAUAUACGGGGUUGUUUCCAUGUGUUCUUUCUUGAUAGCUUCUAUUUCCAUUUUUAAUUCCUUCAACUAUUUGAUUGUGUUUUCCUGGAAUUCUUUCAGGGAUUUCUGUGAUUCCUCUCUGAGGCUUCUACUUGUUUACUUAUGUUUUCCUGUGUUUCUCUAAGGGAGUUCUUCAUGUCUUUCUUGAAGUCCUCCAGCAUCAUGAUCAAAUAUGAUUUUGAAACUAGAUCUUGCUUUUCUGGUGUGUUUGGAUAUUCCGUGUUUGCUUUGGUGGGAGAAUUGGGCUCUGAUGAUGACAUGUAGUCUUGGUUUCUGUUGCUUGGGUUCCUGCGCUUGCCCCUCGCCAUCAAUUAUCUCUGGUGUUACUUUGUUCUGCUAUUUCUGAUAGUGGCUAGACUGUCCUAUAAGUCUGUGUGACAGGAUUGUUGUAGACCUGUUUUACUCUUUUCUUUCAGCCAGUUAUGGGAAAAGAGAGUUCUGCUUUCGGGCGUGUAGUUUUUCCUAUCUAUAGGUCUUCAGCUGUUCCUGUGGGCCUGUGUCUUGUGUUUACCAGGCCGGUUGCUUGGACCAGGAAGGUUUGUCUUACCUGUGGUCCUGAGGCUCAAGUUUGCUCGUGGGGUGUUGCUUAUGAGCUCUCCGUGGCCGCAGCAACCAGGAACAUCUGCGCCGCCCUUUCCAGGAGCUUUCGUGCACCAGGGUUCCAGAUGGCGUUUGGUGUUUUCCUCUGGAAUCAGUAAUGUGGGCAUAGUGUAGUCUCUUCUGGUUUCCCAGGCGUGUCUGCCUCUCUGAAGGUUUAGCUCUCCCUCCCACAGGAUUUUGUGCAGAGAACUGUUUAUCUGGUCGGUCCCUUCAGGUUCAGGCAGUGUCUCAGACGCAGGGGACCUACUGCUCCUGUGCCCUUAUCUCCAGGAACCCAGAGGCCAUAUCCAGUUUCCUCUUGGGCCAGGGAUGUGGGCAGGGGUGGGCAGUGAUGGUGGUCUCUUCCGCUCUGCAGUCUCAGGAAUGCCCACCUGUCCGGACUGUGAGCUCUCUCUCCCAAGGGGUUUGGGAGCAGUGAUCUGCUGUGGGCAGGGAUCCGUGGGUUUGGGAAUCCCGCUAAAAUCCGGAAGUGUCUGGUCCUAGAGGAAUUUUGCCUCUGAAAGCAUUCUUAAUCGCAGAGAAAGAUUAAAGGGGAUGCUGCUCUCAAUAUUUCACGAAUACUAUCUCUGAGGUGAGGAUAGUGUCCAUGUUGUUGGGAAGCUUUAAUUGUGAAGGUCUUCAGGGAAGAUACAGUAGAAGGCACACUCUGCCUUCAUGUCUUUUUUUAAAGCAUAGAAUAGAGUUUAUUCAGGGCAUAGGGAGGGAGUUAAGAGGGUAGGGCAGAGAAAGGCAGAGAGAGCUGGAGGGAGAGACAGAGACAGAGACAGAGAGAAAAACAAAGAGACAGAGAAAGAGAGAAGAGAAAUGUAGAGAAGUAGAGAAAGAGAAGAGUAGAGGCCGGCGAUGAGCACAUGGAGAGAUGGAAGGUGGAGAGAGAAGGGACAAAGGGGCAAGAGGAUAAGAGAAAGAGAGCAAGAGAGGAGAAAAAGAGCAAGAGACCAAGAGGUGCCCUCAUGUUUUUACUUUUCAGCUCCGGGCAGUUUAACUAGAGUGGUUGGCAUAAAAGUGUGAGUGGAGGGUCACUUGUACUCUCCUGAAAUGCAGUGGGGAAUUGGAAAUUGUGCAUGGGGUCAUUGUACAACUCUACUGUCUACUGUGGUCACAUUGACACUGCCUGGUGAAAUUCUUCAUAAUGAAAUAUUUUCUGAAACACGGUUGGACUUUGGUUGCUUUAAAGUACCUCUGACUUACUUUAUUUAGCAACCCAUUAAGUUUUUCUAAUGCCAGGUAGGUGUCUGGUAUCCCUUUGGAUUUCUUCUGAGGAAAUCUUUGUUGUGUUCAUUAUGGAUCAGCCAUGGGUGUGCCAUAAUGUUCAGAAUCACAGGACAGUAUGUGAUUUUCUCUUUAAUUGUUGAUGUAGUAGAUUUUUAAACUCUUGGGAGAGGUGAUCAGGCAGAGAAGUUUGCAUUUGGUAAACCUGGCUUUUUGAGUUUUGAAUUCUUUCUCUGACAUGGGAGAUAUCAUAUAACUAAGUAGUAUAGUAUCAAUACAGGCCACAGCCUGUCAAGGGAAGCCCUUCAUACUCUGUGUGCCAGAACACCUUGGGAAAACCAUAUCUAGUGAUGGCAUGAAGCUUGGGACCUUUCGAUUUGUAGAGGAGAGCCCUUUCUAAUCUACUGAGAUAUUGUCAUGUGUAUAAAAUUAAAAGUUAGACAUACCUAAAGAAGUAGUGAAAAUACAACUGAAGGGCUUGGGAAUAUAAGAGCAAAUCAAGGCCAAACAGGAGUAAAUAAUGAUCCUAGGAUCAUAAUUUUAUUGUUUUAAACCAUAUUUUAUAUCCUGUAUUUCACACUCACUCCAUAUUAAUUAUUUAUAAUUCAGACUUGGAUUCUGGCUCCCUCUGGAUUUCUUCUAGAAUCCUUUCUAAUUGUCUUCAGCUUGGUGUAUCUACAGGUGUGCCAGGCCUUCCAUUAUUACAAUUCUCUUUUUGACAUCUUCUGUCUUGAACUGAUGAAAUUCAUCGUGAAACUCUAUUUGGUGAUGUGAUAAUAGUUGAAGUGGGGGUACAAGAUUUCAGCAUGAAAUCUACCAUUUAUUAUUUGAAUUUUCUGUCAAUGUGAAUGGGAGAUACCCAAUUAGUUCCCAGUACUAUACACCUAAACUCCAGAUGUCAGUGGUAAUUACAUCCAAAUAUGUGCAACACAGCCUUUCUGGAAUACAAUAUUCAGUCUAAUACAAACCCUGGUUCUAAUCCUGUAUGUGAUCCAGAGGGUGUGUUACUUGGAGGAUGGGCUGCUAACAUUGGAGGCUUUUAUGCUUGUGCUCUUACUCUAGUCUAUUUCCCUAGAAAAUGAAGCGAUCCUCCUCUAAAGGGGGACAUGCUUGUGUCUAGGUUCUGAGCUAUGAGUAGUCACAUCUUGGGAUUUUUCAUAUUUGAUGUUUGUGAAGAUGAAUACUCUGUAACCUUCUCAGUAUCAGUGAAUCCUUAGAGCUGUUGCUGCUGCUGUUCUCUGUCUCUUGGGUUCUCCUGUUCCUCAGAAAAGGACAAUAUCCAUGCUGUGGGAAGCUUUUGCCUUAUACAUUCUGUUAAAGAAAGAAGGUGUAGACAUCACAGUGUUUCCUCAUGCCAUUUCCUCCCAUCUCCAGGCAGCUCUGGUAGACCAGGUGAAAAGAAGGUUUGAAGGAAAGGACACUUCCCCCUCAGAGUCAAUGGGAAGUUGGGAGGUUGUAUGUGUGAUUGUCUACAACUCUGCCCACUUCAAUUUGCACUGCUCAGUGACCUCCUAACUUUUAAUUCAUUGUUUGCCAUUACAGGGACAUAUUGUUGUUGCUUUAAAGAAUUUUGGACUUCCUGGGUUCAGUAACCCUUUUAAAAGAUUCUAAUGGGAUCAGGGUUACUUUUAGAAUUCUUCUAAGGACCUUUGAAUUUUCUGCAUCUACGGUUGAGAGGUAUCCAGUCUCUAAAACGUAGAGGAUCAAAACAAGUCCUGUAUUUUCAUAGAUAACCCACUGUAUUUUGAACACCGCAGGAGAUCAAAAUGCAGAGGUUCCACUGGAGAGCUGAGUUUUCUCCUCACACCUAAGUCACUAAAUUUAAGGGGCUCUUUAUAAGCUACUGAGAUGUUUUCUUGCUUAAUAACUCACUUAAAUAUAUGGUGGAUAUGUGAAGGAUAGACAUAUCCACAAGUGUCCCCUACGUAGCAUAUUGCAGCCUCCUCCUCUUCCUCCAGACACCCAUAUUUAGUGCCACAUAUCAGAAGGUUAACUUUGCUUCCUCUUCCACAUCCAGGUAGGAUUUUCAUCCUUGUCUCGAUGACCUGCAUCAGUUGUUUGAUAUGAGAAUGAUGUAGUGAUUUCAGGACCUCAGUAUCGGACAUGAUCAGGGAGUCUAUAUUUGCCUUCUCUAAGAAUUUGGAUGAACACAAGGUCUUAGUCCUAAGAUAGAAAGCCAAAGGUCCCUGAAACAGUGCCCAUGACAUAAUUUUUGGGAGAUGUUUUCUUCAAAGGAACUGGCCUUAAACUCAUUUCAUAUUUUCACUAUUUCCUUCUCUUGGUAGAAGUGAUAAGGUAUACAAGUGAAUAAAUAUAUAGAUAAAUGAUGUCUUCCUGGAAUAAAUCUGUUCUAGGAAUGAUUUUAUUUACAAAUCCUAACACUACACAUCAGAGAUACCUAAAUGAACUGUAGUGCUAGGGAACUGCUAGUGAUACCCCCAUAUCCACCAAAUAAAAGACAGGAGCUGUUCUGGUGCAGUUCUCACAGCAGGGCCUUUAUUUUAUAUGAGCUAGCUCGGGCCCCUCAGCUUACUACUAACUGACAGGGAGGUUUUGCAUGUAGAAAGGAGCCCUGAAUGUCUACUGGUCAAGGCUUUAUAAUAAACUGCAAGCGGGGUGGGUUGUGAGUGUGCAAGCAUUGAAUUGGACAGCUACCCUGGCCUUUAACAUAAUUGGCUGGUGCUCGGGAUCAUAUCUUAAACUUAAUUCCUGCUUUCCCUGCAUUGUUGUUCCUUAGACAGGGGCUGUGCUUGUAAUCUGGGGGUGUGUAUUUCUUGGGAGAAUAAUCUGGAGACACUGGGCUUGUUGGGGUUUAAACCUGGAGCCACAGGUCUUGUGGCUAGUUAGCCUACAGUCUGAAGCUAGGCUCAGGUUUUCUUCAGGGAUGGUAACUUGGAAACUAAUGCCAGGUAUCAUCCUUUUAGUUUACCUGAGUUCAAACUUAAGUCAGAUCCUCCAAAAGGACAUCUGAAUUUAAAAGAUUUGGCCUCUCCUGCCCCCCAUUUCCCUUAUGACUAGAAGGCCCAACCAUGGGCUUUUAUGAGAACAGUUACAGGGCUACGUUUUGUGCUGUCACUGGAGCAUGGGCAGGAGCUCAUCAGUGGGAGACAGCAGGGAGUUCUGAGGUUCAAUUCUCCUCCUGCUAGCCAGGCUAUUUCCAACUGCAAAUGGAUGUGCAGUGCAUCCACACUGUAACUCUGUAGCACAUGAACCCUUUCAGUGACUCUAGUGACUCCUGGCAGUGUGUGUUGACUAUGGCCCAAUCUCCAGGUUAUAGGUGGUGGAGCUCCAACUAGACAGUUGGCGUAUUUUAUGGAAAGCACAAAGUUUAAGCCAAACAUAUUUGUGUACCCACUGGAUACCCUCGAAACCAUAUAAUAAUUAGUACUCAUCUGCUUCUGUUACAACUUCUGUAAGUAGGUGAACUGAACAUAACUUUAAAAUGUGUGAGCCCCAUCUAGUAUGGGGAGUUCUGUACUCUAUAGAUAAUUAAGAGAAGAAGAGUCACCCAGUUACUGUUAGUCUUUAAGAUUAAUUUAGCUAAGGUCUCCAACAGUGUUUAUUUUAUCUUCUCUACCUCUCCUGAACUCUGGGGUCUGUAAGCACAAUGAAGUUUCCAUUUAAUCACCAGAAUAUUAGCUAAUCUCUAAUUUAACUGCGACAAAAAUAUAGGUCGAUUAUUUGACCCUACAAGCUUAGAAAAACCAUAUAUUGCAAGAAUUUAUUUUAGUAUUUUAUAUAAGCAUCUGCACAUUCUAGUAUUUGGUGGGGGAAAAUCUCAGUCCAUCCUGAAAAGUUAUCUAUAUGCACCAGAAAUACUUGCAUCUGAUUUUUCCUGAGUUUACCUCAAUAAAGGGUGUUUCCUGAUAGACUCCUGUUUUUGUGCUCUGCUAUUGAGUACUAAGUUUCUGUUAACUGGCAACCACAUAGGUCAAUUGACAGGCACAGAGUGAAUGUUUUCUGAUCAAACAUGUUGCCAUUACAUGCUCUUAAAUUUGUUUCUUAAGGCAUGCCUUAUUUCCUGUUUUAUUAUCUCAUCAAAAAGCAUCCUACUGAGUGGUUGGGAAUUUUUUCCUUUGUUACUCAUUGUGAAGACAUUGGUGAUGUGUCUUCUUCAUGGCUUAGCCAUGGGUAUGCUAUGACCUUAAUAACAGUGGACCCUCUUUGUGUCAUUCGAAGUCAGUAAUAGAUUUAAUAGAUUUUUAUAAGAGGUGAUUCAGAAUGCAAGAUUCAGGAUAAAUUCUGCCAAUUGUUCUUGGAAUUCUUCGACAUCCUGAAUGGGACAUGGCUCAGCACCGAUCACCCCAGGGAUGGACAUUGCAAUAGGAAUCGUUUCAUGCUUUGUGCUACUAAAUCCCCAGCGCACAAUACGCACUCCAGGGCUCGCUCUGGUACUCCUAGCACAGGUGCUCCUGAGCGUCUGUUUCCCUGUAUGAGAAGAUGCUGAGGCUUCUCAGCUUGCGCGCUCACCCAGAGACACUUGAUACUUGCUAGGAGGAUGUGCUUAUGUCUAGGUUCUCAGUGCUAUCAGUGAUGACAUCUGGGAUUUUUCCUGUUUUAUGUCUGUGGAGAUUUUCUUGUUGACAAUAAAUCCUCAGAAUUCAUGAUGCUCUAAGUCUUUCCUCAAGUUGUGUUCCUGAAAGGAGGCUCAUGUACAUGGUGGGAUAGGUUAUGUAAGGGAAGCUCCUCUUCAAGAGGACAAAAUGAGAAAGGUAGGGGUAAUGGUUCAGUCCCUUAGAGGCAGAGGCGAGUUGAGAAAUUGUGUCUGUUUUAUUGUACAACAUAUGUAGAGUCCUAUCCUAUACAGUACUCAGAUUUGAUCUGCCAGACUGACUUCAUAUUCGUGAUUAAAUAUAUUCCCUUUACAUGCUCAUAUUCAAAGUGCUUUGAAGCACCUUUUUUUUUUUUUAUUAACUUGAGUAUUUCUUAUAUACAUUUCGAGUGUUAUUCCCUUUCCCGGUUUCCGGGCAAACAUCCCCCUCCCCCCUCCCCUUCCUUAUGGGUGUUCCCCUCCCAACCCUCCCCCCAUUACCGCCCUCCCCCCAUAGACUAGUUCACUGGGGGUUCAGUCUUAGCAGGACCCAGGGCUUCCCCUUCCACUGGUGCUCUUACUAGGAUAUUCAUUGCUACCUAUGGGGUCAGAGUCCAGGGUCAGUCCAUGUAUAGUCUUUAGGUAGUGGCUUAGUCCCUGGAAGCUCUGGUUGCUUGGCAUUGUUGUACUUUUGGGGUCUCGAGCCCCUUCAAGCUCUUCCAGUUCUUUCUCUGAUUCCUUCAAUAGGGGACCUAUUCUCAGUUCAGUGGUUUGCUGCUGGCAUUCGCCUCUAUAUUUGCUGUAUUCUGGCUGUGUCUCUCAGGAGCGAUCUACAUCCGGCUCCUGUCGGUCUGCACUUCUUUGCUUCAUCCAUCUUGUCUAAUUGGGUGGCUGUAUAUGUAUGGAGCACCUUUUAUAUCCUGGAUUUAGUAUUCAAUUAAAAAUAUUCUAGUGUGAUUCUGAAAGUCCUCUCUCAGAAUUGCUUUUGAGGAUGAUGGAUUUUUGUUGUGUUUUUAUUGCUUCUGUUUUUGUUUUUUCCUAGCACAUUCACAUUUCUUAUGGCUUAUAUGACUAUGGGACAUUUUGUGGAUUCAAAUAUUCAUAGCUGAUUAGUUAAAAUGUCCUCCAACUUGUAGACAAGAUAGGGAGAAUUGAAACUUUGAACAAAAAUUGCCAUUCAAUUUUUGGGUUCCUUGUGAUUUUAAGCAGAAGUCAUACAGUAAAAAAAAAUACAGGAUGACAGUGAGCUUUGCAAUAUCAGUGGAAAGAACUUUAUACUGUGUGCCUCUGGACACCUCUAUUGAAUAUUAUUCAGUAUAACAAACACCCUGGCACAGUCAUCAGAUGUCAUCAUGAGUGUGUGUUUCCAUGAGCAUGGGCUGACAUUUUCUAAGGCUUCUAUAACUGGUCUCUCAUCCUGAAGUUUCUUGCUGCAAAAUACAAUUGAGCCUCCCUAGGAGGAUAAGCUUGUGCCUAGGUUCUGAGAGUUCCUAAGGCUCACAACUUGGAUUUGUUGAGACGGCAGCAAAGGAGAGAUAAUCUUAUAAAGAAACUAAUGAAACAUGAAAAGGGAGACGUGACUAGUGUCCUCCAUCUGAACUUCUGGUUUGGCCAGGAAAGUGGGUCAAAGAGCAGAUGGGAGAGUGGUAGGAAGAGCAAUGAAAGGUGCACUUCAAGUCCAAGCUAUAGUAGGAAAAGAGAGAAAAAUCUAUAAUCCAACAUGCAGUAAGGUCCCUAACAUUGGUCUCUUACAAGAACUUAUGGUCAUCAGAAAGUUCUCAGCUUUUGAACUGCUGGAAUAAAAGAGGCUUUUAAACAAGGAACAAAAGAGCUUGGUGCCACCUAACUCAUGGUGCUACAGGAAAAGAUAGGAAUUAAAUAUAAUCAGUGUGAGUGCUGGGAAAGCUGAGUAAUGUAACUUUCCACCAUUCCUUAAGGCAAAAAAAAAAGUAACCCGAGACUGUGUGAGGGAAACAACUCAUUACUGGUUUGACAAGUCAAAUCCAUUAGAAUCAUAUGGUUAACUCCAUGGCAUGCCCUAAAUAUCAGGGAAUGGAAGACCGAAAGAGAGGGACAAAAUCUUCUGUGAAAAAUCAGAAGAGACUGUGUUUGGCUCUUUUACUAGGACAAUGAAAUUGUAUUCAUUUGACUCCUAAAAGAAAAGGUUUAUCCAGUGGACUGAUCCAGUGUAUUAUAAAAUGUUAACAACCUUGCUGCCCCUUUAAAAAUAGUCAAAGGUUUUGCUGAUCUGAAUGUGUUAGAGGAAGAAGGAAACUGUCUGGAAAAUGAGAGGGCGCCCUUGAUGAGCUAAGACUAUGGAAAAGUAGAGGAAGAGGUCUGUCUGGGCUCCUUAAAGAAAAAGUAGAAUGAUUUGUAUGAAGUAGGCAUUCUAUCCCUCAACAGCAACAACAAAAAUACUCACUCCUGGAAUGGCAAAUUUUGUGCUAAAGGGCUUCUGGAUUGCUUAAAAUUCCAAGGAACAGUAGGCUGAUGGCAUCUGUGAGAGAAUAUUUAGGUGAAGAUUAUCAGGUCAGAGGCAAACAUUCCCAACGAAUAAGCAGUGUGUAUUUCCUUCUUGGAAAGGUUCAGGAUAGGCGUGGGGAUGAUUUGCUCAGGUAUAAACUCUGAAAGAGUGACAUUUGUGGAAUGGGGGAAGCUAAAGCUAUAUGAGACAGCUACAGUGCUAACCAAGCACUCCACACACAUAUGAACCUAGCGGGUACAGCAGGCAAGAGCACAGUCAGCUGUCCCUUUGUUCCUGAGUAGGUCGAUCCCAUUAAGUCAGACCUACUGAGCUAACGAUGGAUGGAGAUAUGUAGAUGGCUCUAUGAAAGAGCUCCAGGAUCUAGUAAUCUAACAGCUCAGAGAAAUGACUGAGCAUUACAGGGAGCUAAGUCAGUUAGCGGCUAAUGUCAUUGUUUUAUACCUACUUUAAUCUGUGGAGGAAGUGAUACUGAUACAACUGGAUAAAACGUUUCCAUAGUGAGUUAGACUUUGCUUAUGUUCAACUUUAGUAUCUUCUAGGUUGUGAACUUCUGAGAUUCAUGGUCCCGUGCUUAGAAUAGAUGAAAGAGACAGUUUGAGUGCUUCAAUAAGGUCAUUUUUUAAUCCCUCGGUUUGGUAGGGGAUGCUGGUUCAUGGCCUUCUCCUGCCCAUCCUCUGGAAAACAUUCUCUUACAUGAAUGACACAAGGGUAAUCUUUGAGUGUUUUGCAAGCUAUUGGAGAGCCACCCAAGUACAUGGGUAAUUCUGUCUACCUCACAGUCCUAGUGGGGCUCGGUUAAUUGAAAGUUAAAAGUACAAAUGGUAUCUUACCUGUAUAAAAAAUGAUACUCCCAGAAGGCAUGUGGUAACUAAAUGUAAACCCAGUGCAACGGAUCAGCAACACACCUGAGAGUUGAUGGCCAUGGAAACCCUUGAGGGCCCACAAAGCAUACAUUCUAUUGCUACUAAUGCAGGUUAUAUGCCAGAAGUAAAUAGAAAGACAGUUUGCUGAAGACAAUUUGUUGACUAUACGACAUAGGAAUGAAGCUGGGACUGAUCUGGUAGGUAAUCAUAGUGAAAGAGGGUGCCAUGCAGGUUGUUGGUAGAGAUCUGUCACCAGCAUUCCUGUUUCCCUAUGUACCGUGCUGUUAAAUUAGUGACAAGCCAAACAGGAUGUUCCUCUCAUUCUGUAGUGGCUGGGUUAACAUGAAGAAGUCCAAAUGUCUUCUGAUUGGAAUAAAGGCCCACUCAAUAAGAGGGGGUUUAUCUGAUACUGUAAGUCUGGACAUAAACCUUUAGAUGUGCUGGUCACAGGUCAAAAUGGGGAACAGUUUCUGUUCUUUUAUUAGAUGGAUUAGAUGUUGCUGCCAUAUUGCCUUCUAAACAAGAGGGCUUUUAAUGCCAUACAUUGUCAAAUUGUCAGCAUCAACUCAACCAUCAGUGAAGCUCUUGAGAUCAAGGGACUGUUUCUGUGAUACAGUGGCCUAAUUCUUAGCCAUAAGUAGAUAACUGUGACCUUCCUUCCAAGGCUCAGGGACCAUUGCAGAAGAGGUGGCAGAAAGAAUGUGAGAGCUGUAGGAUGGGGAUAGAGUGCUAUAUUGCUGCUUCCUGGGUGUUUGAACAAUUACACCCUACAGGGAUGCUCCUUAUCCAGAAGGUAAUCAACAAAUUAGCUUCAGAAAGUCCCUGAAAUGAACAGACUCACUAGGACACCCCUCUCCAGAGUAAACACUAUUGGUUACUGGGAGUUUCUUCAAUGAUGCAAGGCUUCUAAGAAGACUUGCAGUCAAAGCAAGCUCUAAAGACUCUCAGAUCAGAUCAGGUGCCUUGCAGAAACAAAGUAGCUGAACUAGCUACAAGAGGUACAGAUGAACUGAGUCACUUUAUAGUAUAUGCUGAACUUCCUCACAGAACACUCUCCCAGUUGUGAUAUCUGUAGGCUGUGCAGUGUACUGCCACUUCCCAGCUUUUGUGAGAUCUCACCUAUGCUUUGUCCUGCUUGAUGAUGACUCUGUAUUUGAAUAAUUUCUACUUCUGUAAGUAAUUUUUCCCCUAGAAUUCUGUAAGUAACCCCAAUAAAACUCAUUGUUCACCAA